rnacentral:rRNA from 1 species
UACGUAGGGUGCGAGCGUUGUCCGGAAUUACUGGGCUUAAAGAGUUCGUAGGCGGCGCAGAAAGUAGGGUGUGAAAGCCCUCGGCUCAACCGAGGAAUUGCGCCCUAAACUACUGUGCUUGAGGAACCUAGAGGUGAGCGGAACUGAUGGUGGAGCGGUGAAAUGCGUUGAUAUCAUCAGGAACACCGGAGGCGAAGGCGGCUCACUGGGGGUUAUCUGACGCUGAGGAACGAAAGCCAGGGGAGCGAACGGG